rnacentral:lncRNA from 1 species
GGGAGUCAUUUGUCAAGGGGGAGUCUUGAUUUCAGGGGGAGUCGAGUCUUUGUGAGCUUUGUCAUGUUCUUGUGCUCUUUUUUGGGUUGCAUUGAGCUGUUUUACCUCUUCUUGAGGAGCUGGAUUUGGAUUUUCAUGUGAUUGGUGUUGAGCCCGUUUUCUGUCUCUUCUUGAGGCAUCACAUAAUUUUGUCUGAGUCAUGUAGAGCCGUUUCCCUUAUCUUAGGGGACUAAGAUUUUCUGUUUUGAGUUUCUUAUUUUCUUUUUCAAAAACUACGAAUUUGUGGUGUGUUGUCAAUGCACUCAUCAAGGGGGAGAUUGAGAACCAAUGGUGGUCACCCUUGGAUGAUGAGUGAUUGACAACUUUGUAUUGGUUUGAUGUUGCUCUUGCCCUGUGAUGUGCAGGUGUUGGAUGCGGUGUGGCGGCUGAUAGCAUGCGGUGAAGGUCAAGCGAAAGGCUCAUGCUGAUGGUGUUGGGAUACGAGGUAGGCUACGCUAGCGCAAAACAAAACUUUUCUACCGCAUAAACCAGGAAAACUGCCGUAUAUGGAUCACGGGAUUACCACUCGACGCACUGGUGCGGAAGAUGUAGAAUCGUGUCGGGGCAGCGAAGUUGAUCAGCAUAGUCGAUCACGUAGAUGUCGAGCAGCUCCUCAGCAGCUCAUCCACGUGCAGCGAGGCCGUCCUUGUGCCGCGGCUCGUCGUUGGCUCGUCGUGGCUCGUUGUCAGCUCGUUGUGGCUCGUCGGCGGCUCGUCCAAGUACUGCAGGUGCAACACCUCCAAGGUAUCCAC